AUUGAACGCUGGCGGCAGGCCUAACACAUGCAAGUCGAGCGGAUGAUGGGAGCCUGCUCCUGGAUUCAGCGGCGGACGGGUGAGUAAUGCCUAGGAAUCUGCCUGGUAGUGGGGGACAACGUUUCGAAAGGAACGCUAAUACCGCAUACGUCCUACGGGAGAAAGCAGGGGACCUUCGGGCCUUGCGCUAUCAGAUGAGCCUAGGUCGGAUUAGCUAGUAGGUGAGGUAAAGGCUCACCUGGGCGACGAUCCGUAACUGGUCUGAGAGGAUGAUCAGUCACACUGGAACUGAGACACGGUCCAGACUCCUACGGGAGGCAGCAGUGGGGAAUAUUGGACAAUGGGCGAAAGCCUGAUCCAGCCAGGCCGCGUGUGUGAAGAAGGUCUUCGGAUUGUAAAGCACUUUGAGUUGGGAGGAAGGGCAGUAAGUUAAUACCUUGCUGUUUUGACGUUACCGACAGAAUAAGCACCGGCUAACUUCGUGCCAGCCGCCGCAGUAAUAC
rnacentral:rRNA from 1 species